AUCAAUGAAGAAAGAUUUCAUCUUACUACUUGUCAGGUCACAAUAGUAUAUGAAAGGCUUGAAAAGAGCAAAAACCACACUACGAUGGGAAUCUCCAUAUAAGUUCAUUCAGCCCAGGAAAAUUUCUCUGGUAUUCUUCGUCUAUACUACAAGUCAACAUCAGACCAUGCUUGUACAUAUAUCCAGAAAUUUCAGGGUUGUAUAAAACAACGCUUCUCACAUACCACUAAGAGAGUGCUUCAUAUUAUGAUGAUAUUUCUCACUACGCCAGGAUAACAGGGCCACAGAUUCAAGUUCAAUAAUCCCUUCCUCAGUAUUAAAUAGAAAGACCACCAUGUUACUAUCAAGACAUCAACCGUAUCACCGAUAAGGGAUUAAUUAAGGAAAGAACCUUACACAUAUCUUGUAACCAGUCUAUCUUAAUUGAUUAAUUGAUUUACUCGUAUCAAAAGAGUCACAGUUUAUCAUAUACAUUGAUAAACAAAUGUUUCACGUGCUACAUCCCAUCACUAUAUUAAGUGCAGGAUAUCAAGGCCACAUGCUCAAGCUCAGUAACCUUUUCCUCAGUAUUAUAGAUAGAAAGACUAGCUAUAUUACUAUCGAGGCAACAACUGUAUCACCAAUAAGAGAUUAAUUAUAAA